GACAGAGGGUGCAAACGUUGUUCGGAUUUACUGGGCGUAAAGCGUGUGUAGGCGGCUUGGCAAGUUGGAUGUGAAAGCCCACGGCUCAACCGUGGAAGCGCAUCCAAAACUGCCUCGCUCGAGUCUCGGAGAGGAAGGUGGAAUGCUUGGUGUAGAGGUGAAAUUCGUAGAUAUCAAGCAGAACACCUGCGGCGAAGGCGGCCUUCUGGACGAUGACUGACGCUGAGACACGAAAGCGUGGGGAGCAAACAGG
rnacentral:rRNA from 2 species